GGGUUGUGAGGUUAAGCGACUAAGCGUACACGGUGGAUGCCCUGGCAGUCAGAGGCGAUGAAGGACGUGCUAAUCUGCGAUAAGCGCCGGUAAGGUGAUAUGAACCGUUAUAACCGGCGAUUUCCGAAUGGGGAAACCCAGUGUGUUUCGACACACUAUCAUUACGUGAAUACAUAGCGUAAUGAAGCGAACCGGGGGAACUGAAACAUCUAAGUACCCCGAGGAAAAGAAAUCAACCGAGAUUCCCCCAGUAGCGGCGAGCGAACGGGGAGCAGCCCAGAGUCUGAAUCAGCAUGUGUGUUAGUGGAACGGUCUGGAAAGUCCGACGGUACAGGGUGAUAGUCCCGUACACAAAAACGCAUGUGUUGUGAACUCGAAGAGUAGGGCGGGACACGUGGUAUCCUGUCUGAAUAUGGGGGGACCAUCCUCCAAGGCUAAAUACUCCUGACUGACCGAUAGUGAACCAGUACCGUGAGGGAAAGGCGAAAAGAACCCCGGCGAGGGGAGUGAAAAAGAACCUGAAACCGUGUACGUACAAGCAGUGGGAGC
rnacentral:rRNA from 1 species